UGGGGAAUAUUGCACAAUGGGCGAAAGCCUGAUGCAGCAACGCCGCGUGAGUGAUGAAGGCCUUCGGGUUGUAAAGCUCUGUCUUCAGGGACGAUAAUGACGGUACCUGAGGAGGAAGCCACGGCUAACUACGUGCCAGCAGCCGCGGUAAUACGUAGGUGGCAAGCGUUGUCCGGAUUUACUGGGCGUAAAGGGAGCGUAGGCGGAUACUUAAGUGGGAUGUGAAAUACCUGGGCUUAACUUGGGUGCUGCAUUCCAAACUGGGUGUCUAGAGUGUUGGAGAGGAAAGUGGAAUUCCUAGUGUAGCGGUGAAAUGCGUAGAGAUUAGGAAGAACACCAGUGGCGAAGGCGACUUUCUGGACAAUAACUGACGCUGAGGCUCGAAAGCGUGGGGAGCAAACA
rnacentral:rRNA from 1 species